CACACACACACACACACACACUAAGCAGCCUUCUAGAAACGACUGUACACAGAUACCACACACAGGCGAUCACAGCCGCUCAAUUCCACUUCAUGUCCUCCACACGCACACGCACACACACACACACGCACACACGCACACACCGAGCGACGGACUGAGGAAAAGAGCCUAUAGACCCACCAGCCAUCGACGGCGGUGCCAUUAUACUCUGAGUUCGGGGAGACUGAGGGAAGCGAGCGAGUCAGGGGGGGAAAUGAUGCCAUAAUUAUUCUCUGGGGUCGAAGGGGACGAAAGGGAGCGCAGAGAAAAGCGGCCUGUCCGACCGCCGCGGUGGAUUCAGUCGAUAGCCGGCGGAGGCGGUUUCGAGAGCUAUUGAGAGCUAGAAAAUUUAAAUUUUGAAAACGGCCAAAGUAUCCCAGUUAGUCCUCUGACAAGCCAUCCAGACUUGGCGGACGAGACGCGCGUGCUAGGUGGCCCACCGACCGUUUGUGAAAAAUCCCCUUUCAGGAUUUUAUCUCGCGAACGGUUUCUCCUUUCUUUCAAUUAGGUCUCCGUCUCCUCCCUCCGCUCACCUGUUACCAUCCCCUCCUGCCUCCCCGUCUCCCCCCCCCGCUAUCUCCCCUCCUUUGUUGGCUCCUGUUAAUGAAAGGAUUAGUGUUGGGCUGCGUUCCCGACGAGGAAGAAAGGAAUAUGACUUGCCGAGGCAUUAAAGAAGAGCUUAAUUAUUUUAGAAUGUCAUUAAGAGGAUAAAAAGGUUUAAAAGUCUUAAGAAGGGCAAGGGGAGUGAAUGAAUUAGGAACUGAAAUGGGUGGAUGUUUUUUUUUCUGAACGCUACCACACAUGUCGACACAUUUAUACACGCAGCAGGCAGCAUACACAUCUCUGAACGCCGUAUUUGUAUAAAAAAAAAAGAGCAGCAACAUAAAUUAAAUGAAUCUUUUAAGAAAAAAAAAAAAGUUUACUAUUGAAACGCAUUAUGAAGCAAAUAUACUAACACAGAAUAUUAGCCUAUAGAGGUGCAAAGCCGAACAAACCUGUCCAGUGAUCUUUAAAGAAAAUAAAGAAAAGAAUAAAAAAAAAAAAAUGUCAUUUGUCUUUAUGAGAAACCAGAGGUUUAAUGGAUUUUUUAUCAAUUGUUAUUAUUUGAACAAUUCUGAUUGUUGUUAAUGUUAUUAUUAUGGCCGUUGGUAUUAUUACAAUUGUAAAUGUUAAAGAAACGUACACUUCCCAUGGUUUGUUUUCCGUUCCACUGUAGAGAAAUUGCUGUCUUUUUUCACUCUUACCUUUCCUCUCUCUUCGUCUUCUGUGCCUAGUCGUCUCUUCUCCUGUCCUUCACUCCCGUUUGGUUCAGAGUCUCAUGCGUAACUGUUGAUGUAUAGCUAACUAUUCUUUAUAGGGGAAAGAUACAAAGCACGAAAAAAUUAAAAAGAAUUCCAAAACAACCCCUGGGAUCCGACUGGUUUUUGGGUCUGUUCACUGUGCACAUGGUUCCGUCCAUGGGGGGCAGUGGAGCUCCAGCUGGGAGGACGAAGAUGUAGGAAACCGAGCCCGUCGUGGCAGCUCAAUUAGGACAAAUAAAAUAAACAGAAGGUUCCGCGGCGCCGCUAAUGAAUCACGGGCACAGACAGAAGUCGCGGGUUGAGACAGCAAAAUGUGACCCCGCCGUUGACUUCCGCACAAUCAAUACCCGAUUGUGUCGGGAGGCACUCAGCGUGUGCAUCCGCGUGCGGGCCUGGAUUUGAAAGCCGCUGGAGGUCGCCGGAGGGGACGGAUCGAUGGGUUUCUCUUCCGUCGGUGGCGAGGCGCCGCGGUCGCCGGUCAUAAAGACAGAUGGUCAAACGGCAAUCAAAGUAAUGGACUCGCCGGGCGCCACCGCCGUGAGUUGACACUCGAUAGACAUAUCUGGAGUUUAUGAUGACGCAGAGUUAGCGUUAGCAGCUCCCGCUAUCUGGGCCACCGUGGUGGAUCAGCAAUGAAGACGGAAAUGUCCUCUGUUCUGCUUCUCCUCACGGGAAGGAAGAGGAAAUAUUUCCUUUUAAAUCCUUUUUCACUAGACAAUAAAAACGACACAUUUUCAGCUGCUAGACGUGAUGAAGAACAUAGACGGUGAUCAUGGAAUCAAUCAAAGACACAAGCAGGAACGACAUUGGUAGCAGUUUAUUCCUCGACAUGUAAACGUGGGAACAUUGUCUCGCCAGUAAUGACAGCGAGAAGCCAGUGGACACAAGAAGCCAGUGGACAGGUAGAAGUCAGUGGACAGGUAGAAGUCAGUGGACAGCAAGAAGCCAGUGGACAGGUAGAAGUCAGUGGACAGCAAGAAGCCAGUAGACAGGUGGAAGUCAGUAGACAGGUAGAAGCCAGUGGACAGGUAGAAGCCAGUGGACAGGUAGAAGUCAGUGGACAGGUAGAAGCCAGUGGACAGGUAGAAACCAGUGGACAGGUAGAAGUCAGUGGACAGGUAGAAGCCAGUGGACAGGUAGAAGCCAGUGGACAGGUAGAAGCCAGUGGACAGGUAGAAGUCAGUGGACAGAAAGAAGUCAGUGGACAGGUAGAAGCCAGUGGACAGGUAGAAGCCAGUGGACAGGUAGAAGUCAGUGGACAGAAAGAAGUCAGUGGACAGGUAGAAGCCAGUGGACAGCCGUCGCUCCCUCGUGCUACUUUCACCAUUUAACGCCCUGGAGCGUCUCUACGUGAGAUAAUUCCCGGUUUACGGCCCUUUUAUGGCGCUCGUAAUUCAUUUCUACGACUUGGCGCAGGCCGUCCAAAAACAAACUCUUCAUUUUUCUGCUGGAUUAGACACAGUUUUGUCCAUCUGUGAAAUCAACCCCCGGUGACCUCAGAACGGGGCACGCGGCUUGUAGUGCGCGGCGGCGUGGCACGAGGCAUUGAUUGUGGAGCCCGAGUGUGACCAGACCCACAACAAUCAGGGAGCAAAGAGAUUUACGGCCGAGAGAACAAUUGAAUCGGCAGAAGCCGGGGAUUUUUCUUUUUUUUUUACCCCCUUUAUCCUGAUUGAUCCAUAAAUAAUCAGAGUAAUGCACAUCCAACAAAUAGCAAAGCAAAAGAAAUCCAUGUGUAUUUUUUGAGUUCAUACAAAAUAGAUGAAAACAAGACAGCGGCUUUGAGAAUAAAUGUAAAAUAGUCACAGAAUCCGUGAAAAUGAUCAACUGACGAGAAUUGCGAGCGACUAAUUCAAAGCCACAGAGCAGAAAUUGAAAAAAAAACAAAAAAAACAAAUUGGAGAGGGAGAGAAUGAGCUGAAAAAGAAAAAGAAAAGAGAAAUGUCACGUCGAUGUCCCGUGCAGAAGGAGAUGGAUUCUCAAAACAACACGUUUCAAGACGAACAAUCCAAGUGGGGCGAGCGAGGCCCGUUUCAUUACACGUUUAAUCAAAUAGUCAUAACCAGGUUAAUGAUGUUUUCCCUACGCCGCCGCGUCCUCUCUGGACCACAUUUCACUGAGUGUUUAAUUAAACGCUGUCACUCAUAUCUACAUCGCUGGUGGUCGGCUUAGCACAGACUUAGAGGGCUUAUGAUAAUACCACUGGGGGGGGAGAGGGGGGGGGGGGGCAGUCAAAGACAACAGACAUCUGCGAUCAGGAUUUCAUCGCCGAGAGACUUCUCGCUGACAUUUGGUGUGGGCCCUGAUAAUUAACUGGCCUUUUCAUUUACAAGUUAUUCAUGGAGUCUGCGCCAGGUUGCUGAUUAGUCAACAGGCGGACAACAAACGCCGCGCCGUGUUUGUUCUCCGUCAGUCCGCAAGCUGUUGCAAACACUUGCCUUUUUUUUUUUUUUUUUUUUUAACCCGCAUGCACACAAAACAUGGCGGGAACACAAAAACAACGGCGCGCUUGUUUGAGCGGGAAGACUUCAGACCUCUGGGAAGACUUUGGCUUUCAGGGAGCGUUUGGCUGAGGACCAGGGGGCCGCCCGCACGGCCUCGCGCAGCGCCGCGCGCACCGAUUUCCCUCCGGACGCCGCCGCUGCUCCCGGAGGCGGGAGGGGGGCGACCGAGAGGGGAAAGGACGCCCUCUCUCCCCCGACUCGUUUCCCGGGCGGAGUGAAGAGGAUCGGGGGCACGAGGCCGUACAGCUGAAAGAGGAACACGGCGACGGCGUGAACCCAGGCGGGAAGAUUGGUGCCUGAGGUGAAGAGCAGGAGGGCGUGGACGAUGUGGAGCGGCAGGCACAGGAGGACUAAAAGGGAAAGGGACAGCGCCGGGGAACGCGCCUGCCGCGACGCACGUUUAGUGGGGUCUGCGUGACUGAGAGGCGUCUUCCCGGGCCUGACGCACAACAGGUCCAGGUAGACCAGCAGCAGGCAAAGCAAGGGGAGCAUGAACGCCGUCGUCCCGUGGACGUAGAUCAAGAACUGGGGGCUGAGAACGGUGUCGGCGGCGCACACCCCCCAGUGGCUGCUGUGAAUCUCGGCGUAGGUGAAGUUGUGCAUGUCUUCCACGUAAAACUUUGACAGGAAGCCCCCGUACGGAAGGUACUUGCCGAUGACCUUGCGCCCGUGGUCGUACCUAAGGGGCGGGGAAGACGUAAGGCGGGGCGAAGGCGGCGGCGUCGUCCAGUUGCCGUGCAGCCCGAGGCCGGCCGUGUCCGGGUCGGUCGCGCGGCUCCUCCAGGUGUCGAGGACGUCCGAGCCGAUGAACUGGGAGAAGGAGGACAGGACGGAGGCCACCCAGCACAGGAGGACCAGGCAGAGAGCUCGCUGGCGGGUCAUCGCCGAGGAGUACCUGCCGUUCACAAACACAGCAGUGACAGCAAGACGCCUUGAUGCCAAAAUAGACCUAUGUAGGAAAUCUGAUGUACAAAAACCUCCCUUCUACCCACACGAACUGGUGCGAAGACAUUGAAGCCCAUCAAAACGAUAGAUAAUUCUCUCUUUCUAACGCUGAAGGCCGGACUUGUAGGUCACCCUCUCUCAAAUAUCAAAAGGCCCUGAGCCCGUUGAAAUGUGCUCCCUCACCUCUGCUUCUCUCCGAAGGCAGCGUAAGCAGUGUGUGAUACAAAUCUUCCUGGUGAUCAAUGAGAGGCCUAUCGAUGUGUCACGCGGGGGAAAAUCUUGACUUUCUGCUGUUUUUUGAUCUUCCCAUAUGGAUUUUUUUUUUGCUUUACUGCCGUCUUCGCCCUCACCCGUGCUAUGAAAAUGUUACAUGCCGUUGCCAUCGACGGUAUGUAGUGCUGUUUUAUAUUCAUGUUGUUUUGUGUGUUUAUUCAAUACCGUGACAUUCAACAGCUCUUGGUUCUUCCACUGCUCAAACUGACAGACUUACCUGUCUGCCAAGCGGUGCCGCAGGUGGCCAUCCAGCGUGAGGAGCAUCAACAGGAACAUGGUGAACUGCCUGACCAGCAGGGGGCAACACACCAAGGUUAUGCACGUGUACAGACACUGCGGGGUUCGCUGGUUGAGCAACACGUUCGCGGGGAUCCCGGCUGCGCCCCCGACGGCGCCCGCCCAGCCCAAGCACAGGCGGAGACAGCAUGAGACGCUGCCGGGUUGGAGCGUGGCCCCCUGGGAUCCGGCCCCGCUGCCGCUCGCGGCCAUGCACAACCUCACGCUCGCCACGACCACAGCCGCCGACAGGAUGCACUGGCACAGAGAGUACACCCCCAUGCCGUCCAUUUCC
ensembl:lncRNA